rnacentral:rRNA from 1 species
AUGAAGCGGCGCAGGCAGGCGGACCGCCUGAGCGCUCUCCCGGACGAGAUGAUCCAGCACAUCCUCUCCCAGCUCCCGUCCGAGGAGGCCGUGCGCACCAGCGCGCUCUCCCGCCGAUGGCGCGACGUCCCCGCCCGCGUCACCACCGUCGACCUCGCCGACCCCGCCAAAGGCGAUUAUACGCGUAACAAUAUGAGCGAGGACCUCGACCUCCCGGUCUGCUUUGCCCACAAGGUGACGGGGGCGAUCCUCGGCAAGGCCCCCUCGGCGCCCAUCCGCACCCUCCGCCUCGACGUCUUCAACCCGUCACACGACCUGCUCGACCAGUGGAUCGGCUCCGCCGUGUCCUCCGGCGCUGAGGACAUCGACGUCAAGCUCAGGUACAGUCAACUCUCCCGGCGCAGGCUCUGCCCCUACGGCUCUUCGGAGAGGGCCUCCUCGGACUUUGAAAUCUACGAACGGAACGGCUAUACCAAGACGCAGAACCAUCUAUUCCGGUGCCGCACGCUUCGCCGACUGCGCCUCACCAACUGGAGGCUCGACCUGCAAGGAACCGUCUCCAUGGCGUCCCUGGAGACGCUCUGCCUCGCCAGGAUCAUGGACCCCAAAGGGCUGCUACAGCACCUGCUCUCCAACUGCCCGCGCCUCACUGACCUGACGCUACAGGAGUGCCCGAGUCUCACGAAAAUCACGGUGGCUAGCGCCCACCUGCGGAGUUUCGCCAUGAUCUGCUGCCACCAUGCCAGCCGCAUCAAGCUGAGCAGCUCCUGCCUCCGGUCGCUGCACUACAAAGGUGGCCUUCCUUGCAAGUCGCUCUUCAAGCUCGCAAACCAUGCCGGAGUCGUGGCGCUGAGAAUUGAAAUCUGUGAAGACCUCUCCAGAAAAGAACCAACAGAAUUUGCUCCGGCCGCUAAGCUCAUCAGACGGUGUACCAAACUGGCGUACCUUCACCUUUCCUUCCGCCCAUCAAUGGAUUACUAUAGCAGCUUGAUCAAAGUCAAACAUGUGGCGCCCUGCAUAGAGCAUCUUAGGCAGUUGGGCCUCCGGUGCUGCCUGCGCGACCAUCACGACAUCCGGUCAGUUGCCGUCUUGCUUUGUCACACCCAGAACUUGGAAGUGCUGUCGAUGUUUCCUAUGGUUCCUGAGACUCCAAAGGAGUACUCGUCUGAUAGCGAAUCAGAUAUCGAGCUUGAGAACAGCGUCGUUGAGGAUCGGGUCGACUAUAGUAGCCAGGUGACCGAUAGUGGUUUCUGGCCAAUGCAGAUCAGGUGCUUCGAUUAUAAGCUGAGAAGAAUCAACAUUGCGAUGUACAGAGGGCUGCAACUCGAAAAGAUGCUUGCAAAGUUUCUACUUUCAAAGGCUGCAGCUUUGGAGGAAUUCUCGGUGACCUUAACGGCUGGAUGUUCCCAAACUCUCGAUCUCCUUCAUGAGCUCAGCCUGCAACUCGGACGGCACCUUCUUCACAAACAUGACACGCUUCCUUUCAAGCACAAGCGCAUUGCGGAACAGCAGGCUGGCCAGCACCCUAUGCUGCACGUCACACCGGUAGUUAACCAUGUUGACCUCCUUCACUCGAUGGCGCAAGCACCGCAUGGAAAAACUCAACCGGCUGGGAACUCUGAGCUCCACAAGACCAUCCAAGGACUGAUGGUACCGCUCCUGAUCAUCAUCUACGCCUCUUCUGUUGAACCGCCCCGGGUACAUGGCCUCCUCCUCCUCUUCCUCCUCCUCCUCCUGAUCAUCAUCCAAGGACUGAUGGUACAGUUCCUGAUCAUCAUCUUCCUCUUCCUCUUCCUCUUCCACUUCCUCUUCCUCUUCCUCUUCAUCCUUUUGUCUUCCCAUGUUGAGCGACAGAACCUCGAGGUCGGCGAGGCGGGGACACAGCCCCAGAUGAGUUUUUGGAUGGUUUCGACGGAGUCACCGCCAAGGAUGCCUGUCAGGCGCAGCGCUUCGAGGAAAGCGGCUGUUGCCAAUGCGGUGUUUGCAAAUCGCGCCCAUGAGGAAGCGAAGGUCGAGGUGGAGCUCCUUCUCGGCGUGACGCAGCACGUCGAAGAGCCACUGGUCGACCACGACCUUGUCCCAAUUGUUGUAGUUGUCAAGGCGAAGCGGAGGCUGCGCAGCGGCACGGGGAACCGCCGACCCGAAAAUUCCUAUCGAACUCCCGCGCGCACCAGCGCGCUCUCCCGCCGGUGGUGCGACGUCCCCGCCGGCGUCACCGUCGUCGACCUCGUGGACCACAAGAAAGGCAAUCAGCAUAGAAGAAGUGCCGCCGCCAAGGACCUCCCGAUCUGCUUCGCCCACAAGGUGACGGGUGCCAUCCUCUGCAAGGCCCCCGCGACGCCCAUCCGCACCUUCCGCCUCGACUCCCGCCACCUGCCGGCCGACGAUCUGCUCGACCAAUGGAUCGGCUCCGCCGUGUCCUCGGGCGGCGAGGAGAUCGACGUCAAGCUCAGGUACGGGCACUUGUCCAGGCGCAGGCUCUGCCCCUACGGCUCGUCGGAGAGGGCCUCCGCGGACUUCGAAAUCUACAAACGGAACAGCUAUACCAAGACGCAGAACCAUCUCUUCCAGUGCCGCAGUCUUUGCCGCCUGCGCCUCACCAACUGGACGCUCGACCUGCACGGAACCGUGUCCAUGGCGUCACUGGAGCAGCUGCUCUCCAACUGCCCGCGCCUCGCUGACCUGACGCUGCAAGAGUGCCCAGGCGUCAGCAAGAUCUCGGUGAACAGCGCCUUCCUGCGGAGCUUCGCCAUGAUUUGCGGCCAACAUGCCACCUGCAUCGAGCUGCGCAGCUCGUGCCUGCAGUCGCUAUACUACAAAGGCGACCUUCCUCUCGAGUCCCUCUUUAAGCUUGAAAACUACCAAAGAGUCGUGGCUCUGAGUAUUGAAAUCUGUGAGGACCUUUCCAAGAGGGAAUCGGCGGAUGUUACUCCGGUCACAACACUCAUCAGCUAG